AUUGAACGCUGGCGGCAGGCCUAACACAUGCAAGUCGAGCGAGCGGCGGACGGGUGAGUAAUGUAUGGGGACUGCCCUAUAGGGGGGGGUAACUACUGGAAACGGUAGCUAAUACCCCAUACUAUCGGAUAACUCAUUUGGGAUUAGCUAGUAGGGGAGGUAAGGGCUUACCUAGGCGACGAUCCCUAGCUGGUCUGAGAGGAUGAUCAGCCACACUGGAACUGAGACACGGCCCAGACUCCUACGGAGGCAGCAGUGGGGAAUAUUGCACAAUGGGCGCAAGCCUGAUGCAGCCAUGCCGCGUGUAUGAAGAAGGCCCUAGGGUUGUAAAGCACUUUCAGUCGGGAGGCGUUACCGACAGAAGAAGCACCGGCUAACUCCGUGCCAGCAGCCGCGGUAAUUC
rnacentral:rRNA from 1 species